UGGGGAAUUUUGGACAAUGGGGGAAACCCUGAUCCAGCCAUCCCGCGUGUGCGAUGAAGGCCUUCGGGUUGUAAAGCACUUUUGGCAGGAAAGAAACGUCAUGGGUUAAUACCCCGUGAAACUGACGGUACCUGCAGAAUAAGCACCGGCUAACUACGUGCCAGCAGCCGCGGUAAUACGUAGGGUGCAAGCGUUAAUCGGAAUUACUGGGCGUAAAGCGUGCGCAGGCGGUUCUGAAAGAAAGAUGUGAAAUCCCAGAGCUCAACUUUGGAACUGCAUUUUUAACUACCGGGCUAGAGUGUGUCAGAGGGAGGUGGAAUUCCGCGUGUAGCAGUGAAAUGCGUAGAUAUGCGGAGGAACACCGAUGGCGAAGGCAGCCUCCUGGGAUAACACUGACGCUCAUGCACGAAAGCGUGGGGAGCAAACAGG
rnacentral:rRNA from 1 species